rnacentral:lncRNA from 1 species
CUCGGGAGACGCCGCUGGCUCUAUAGGAACACCUGGGGACCGUGGCCAGGGACGACCCAGCCUCCUUCUCCUCAGCUCCUCAGGAACGACUGGGGAAGCUGUGGCUUCAUGGUCCCCGAGGCUGCCCGAGGAAAGACAGAGUCUCAACCAGGCUGGAGUGCAGUGGCGUGAUCUCGGCUCACUGCAACCUCCGCCUCCCAGGUUCAAGCAAUUCUCCUGCCUCAGCCUCCUGAGUAGCUGGUAUUACAGGUAUUUCAGGACAGCCAGGAGGGGGCGCACAUCCGCCGAGAAACUGUGAGCAAGAGCGUCUGUGCUGAACCAUGGCGCCACCAGAGGGCGCGCGAUCCCGCGCCAACCAACUUCCCGCUGAGGUGCCAGAAGCAGCGAGGAGCUUCAACUUCCUCAGGGCAGCACGAGGGUCAUGUUAAUUUGGUGUUCUUCAUUGGUUGUUGGAACGUAAUAAGAGUUAAUGUGUGGUCUCUGCUGCAGUGUCCUGAAACAGAGCGCUAAGCCUCGGGAAUGUACGAAGUAAUGUGUCUUUCGUAUGCUAAUGAAAUGAUUGAUGGCUGGGGGCACCUGGAUAGCCUCAGUGGGGCUGGC